GAUCAAGGUGUGCGAGGCCCUACGGGUAACCCUGGAAAGGAGGGCCCAAAGGGAGUAAAAGGAGAGAGAGGAUUUCCAGGCCCAACAGGAGAUAAAGGAGAUGAGGGUACUCCUGGAGUACCAGGUCUCCCUGGUGUGACAGGUCGAACGGGAGCUCAAG